UAAUGAAAAAAAAGAAAAAAAAAAGUUGCUGCUAGUGUCGCUAUGAUAAAGAAUUGUUGGCAACAAUCCACGGUUGAGGUGAGUGUGGAGGAGGCAAUCAUAACAGCCACAGGAGAAUUCUUCACAGCUACUACAUUCUUUUGUCUCUUUGAAGUUAUAUUUAGAUUUCAUUGAUGUAAGAAAGGCAGGGCAAUUCUGUUAAAGAACAUUUAUAUCUGUUGCUGACUCUGCACAGAAUUUAUCAAGACACUCUAAACAUUGAUAAGAGGACCCAGAAACGAGUUCUGAGCAACUUUCGCACGUAACAAGUUUACCAUUUCUGGAUUUUUCUGAUAAUGUUAAUGCAUGCAAUGCAAG
rnacentral:misc_RNA from 1 species